GGGGUGUCGUUUUUGUUGUUGUUGAAUUGCAGACUGCCCCGUUAAGAGAACGAAGUUGGUUGGCCAGGAGGGGUCCGCCAGUCACCAGGGCAUUUCAGCAGUCGAUGUGACCAAGCCCCUUUAAAACAUUACGCAUAUCGGGGGCUGGUUUAUCUAGGGCUGUCGUGAGGUAAUCUAUCCAUUCUCGCCGGGCAGGCCGACAUGUGGUAAUCGUAGAAAGCGCACACUGCAAUAUGAGAAAAAAGCAAUAACAAUAAGAGCGCGCACGAGUUGCUUUUAAGCCGGGAAAUGUACAUGGAACAUUGCAGAUUUUACUAAAGCUAAAGAUUGUUUGAUCUCGUGAAACAACCUUAAACCAGCAGAAAACUAAUACUAACCAAACGCAAGUUUGAACGACAAUGGAAUUUGGGUUCUUCUGACCCCUGGGAACCGUUGUGAUUUGCCUGGAUUUAAAAGCACAAGUUGCUGACAAAUUGGAUAAACUUGCCCCCCAAUUCGGCCAGCCGACGGUACUGAACUCACUUUCCUUGUAUCCAGAACGAAACGGCGGGUCGUGGAAUUUAACCUGAUUUAUAAGAAUUGAAGAGGGCUUGCAGUUGCCUCACAAAUCACCUAGCAACCACACCAGAGUCUGUCUGUUGGAACUCCUGAGUUUUGCUUCCACUGGAAACUUCUGGAAGAUUACCCAUUAUUUUGUUUUCUAAGGACCAAGAAAACGGAGGGAGAACCUAUUCAAAGAGCUGUGAAUCCCUUUCUGCAGAUAGAGGUCCCAAUGAAUGCCCCGAGAGAAUAAGGAUACAUCCUUUCUAUGUUCUAUGUGUACCUAUGUCAGAGCACAUUAUGAAUAACAAAAAUACUGUUUUUAAAGUCCGACACAAUGUAUAAACCUAUUACAACUGGAGCAGGCCAACCCUGCUGGGUGUGCCUGCUUCUGUUUCAGCCCAGCACUAAUACACCGAAUUCAAUUUAUAAAACCUAAUUAGUUGAUAAUUAAGUGCGCUAUUGCUGGGAUCAGUGGAGCAAGGUUGGCAACCUUUGGAAUGGACUUUUUUUUGUUCACGUGAAAUGUAUGCUUUAGUAAUGAAUAAUAGCCUACGUGUUACUAAGAUGUCUAACCUUUUCCAUAUGCGUUAGCUUGUACACUAUGCAAUUAUAUUAAAUAGUGUUGAUUCUUUUGAAGUGAAGUGUUUAAACUUGUGUCAAUUGUUAACUUAAAACUAUUCAUAAUGAACUAGUGUCAAUGUUUAAUCACAGAUCACAAUCCUGCAAUAAAGAGUGAAAGGAAAUCUCUAAUUUCUGUGUUGUAUACUGAAAUGAACUUGACUUUUUUGUUUAGUUGUAAGCUCUCCAAUGAGUUUUAUUUGAUUGUCACUCUUUUUUUCAGGAUAUCAGCCAUGUGAACUAGUGAUGCAC
rnacentral:lncRNA from 1 species